rnacentral:rRNA from 1 species
UAAAGUAAGAAAGAGCGUAUGGCGGAUGCCUAGGCACAGAGAGGCGAAGAAGGACGCAGCAAACAGCGAAAUGCGACGGUUAGCAGUAAGCAUGCAACGAUCCGUCGAUGUCCGAAUGGGGGAACCCACCUGGAGUAGAGACCAGGUAUCCUGAAGUGAAUAAAUAGCUUCAGAGAGGCGAGACUCAGGGAACUGAAACAUCUAAGUACCUGAAGGAAGAGAAAAUAAACGAAUGAUUCCCUAAGUAGCGGCGAGCGAAAGGGGAAGAGCCCAAACCGAUCUUAGGAUCGGGGUUGUAGGACUGUCGGCAAAGAGCAAGAAAUCAUUAUAGGCGAACGGAAUGGGAAGUCCGGCGAAACAGGGUGACAGCCCCGUAGCCGAAAUAGUGAAGAAGCACGAGACAGCACCUGAGUACGGCGGGACACGAGGAAUCCUGUCGGAAUCCACCAGGACCAUCUGGUAAGGCUAAAUACUCCUCUGUGACCGAUAGUGAACCAGUACCGUGAGGGAAAGGUGAAAAGAACCCCGGGAGGGGAGUGAAAUAGAACCUGAAACCCUGCACUUACAAGCUGUGGGAGCACAUUACUUGUGUGACCGCGUACUUUUUGUAGAACGGGCCAACGAGUUACGUUAAGUAGCAAGGUUAAGCACUUAAGGUGUGGAGCCGUAGCGAAAGCGAGUCUUAAAUGGGCGAUUAAGUUACUUGGCGUAGACCCGAAACCGGGCGACCUAUCCAUGAGCAGGUUGAAGCGAAAGUAAAAUUUCGUGGAGGACCGAACCCACGAGCGUUGAAAAGCUCGGGGAUGACUUGUGGAUAGCGGUGAAAUUCCAAUCGAGCCCGGAGAUAGCUGGUUCUCCCCGAAAUAGCUUUAGGGCUAGCCUCAAGCGUAGAGAAACGGAGGUAGAGCACUGAAUGUCCUAGGGGGUAUUGCACUUACCGAAGACUAUCAAACUCCGAAUGCCGUUUUCUUUUACUUGGGAGUCAGACUGUGGGUGAUAAGAUUCAUAGUCAAAAGGGCAACAGCCCAGAUCGUCAGCUAAGGUCCCUAAAUGUACGUUAAGUGGUAAAGGAUGUGGGAUUGCACAGACAACCAGGAUGUUGGCUUAGAAGCAGCCACUCAUUUAAAGAGUGCGUAAUAGCUCACUGGUCGAGUGAUCCUGCGCCGAAAAUUUCCGGGGCUAAAACGUACUACCGAAGCUACGGCAUCAUUUAUGAUGGGUAGGGGAGCUUCGUAUGCAGGCUGAAGCAUGACCGUAAGGACAUGUGGACAGUAUACGAGUGAGAAUGUUGGCAUGAGUAGCGAGACGUGGGUGAGAAUCCCACGGGCCGUAAACCCAAGGUUUCCAGGGGAAGGUUCGUCCGCCCUGGGUUAGUCGGGACCUAAGCCGAGGCCGAAAGGCGUAGGUGAUGGACAACAGGUUGAUAUUCCUGUACCGCCAAUAAGCGUUUGAGAGAUGGAGUGACACAGUAGGAUAAGCUAACCGUACUGUUGGUUAUGUACGGCUAAGCAUUGAGGCAGUCUAAAUAGGCAAAUCCGUUUAGACAAUGCUAGGAUGUGAUGGGGAAGCCCUUCGGGGCGAAGUAGCUGAUUUCACACUGUCAAGAAAAGCUUCUAUCGAGUUUAAAGGCGCCCGUACCGUAAACCGACACAGGUGGGUGAGGAGAGUAUCCUAAGGCCAGCGAGAGAACUAUUGUUAAGGAACUCGGCAAAAUGACCCCGUAACUUAGGGAGAAGGGGUGCCUGUCUAUGACAGGCCGCAGAGAAUAGGCCCAAGCGACUGUUUACCAAAAACACAGGUUUCUGCUAAGUCGCAAGACGAUGUAUAGGAGCUGACGCCUGCCCGGUGCUGGAAGGUUAAGGGGAUCUGUUAGAGCAAUCGAAGCAGUGAACUUAAGCCCCAGUAAACGGCGGCCGUAACUAUAACGGUCCUAAGGUAGCGAAAUUCCUUGUCGGGUAAGUUCCGACCCGCACGAAAGGCGUAACGAUUUGGGCACUGUCUCAACAAUAGACUCGGUGAAAUUGUAAUCCCGGUGAAGAUGCCGGGUACCUGCGACAGGACGGAAAGACCCCAUGGAGCUUUACUGUAGCUUGACGUUGGGUCUUGGUACUACAUGUACAGGAUAGGUGGGAGACUAUGAAGCAUGGACGCCAGUCUGUGUGGAGUCAUCCUUGGGAUACCACCCUUGUAGUACUGGGAUCCUAACCAUAGGCCUUGAAUCAGGUCUUGGAACACCGUCAGGUGGGCAGUUUGACUGGGGCGGUCGCCUCCUAAAAAGUAACGGAGGCGCUCAAAGGUUUCCUCAGCACGGUCGGAAAUCGUGCGAAGAGUGUAAAGGCAAAAGUCUUGCGCACAUCGGCGCCCGGCGCUGCGGCCAUCGGCUGAAUGGUGCCGUCGCCCAACUGGGUGUACACAGUGUCCAGCUUCUUUUGCAGCUCCUCCUUUUUCUCACUGUCCGGCAAGCUGCAGGUAAUGGCCUUGUUGGCGCAACCGGCAUUGUAAAUGGACGCACCCUUAAAGUCCUUUAAGCAAGCAGCCGCUGCAGUGCCGUAUUCCUUCACCACAGAAUAGGCGGCGCCUUCCUCGUUAAAACCGGAGCCGAUCACAGUCACAUCGUUAAGAUCAAAAGCAUUUUUCGCCGUGUAGAGAGAAGCGGACUUAUCGCACCCGCCGGCAAAGAGUGCCUUG